CCUACGGGUGGCAGCAGUGAGGAAUAUUGGUCAAUGGACGAGAGUCUGAACCAGCCAAGUAGCGUGAAGGAUGACUGCUCUAUGGGUUGUAAACUUCUUUUAUAAAGGAAUAAAACGAGGCACGUGUGCCCUUUUGCAUGUACUUUAUGAAUAAGGAUCGGCUAACUCCGUGCCAGCAGCCGCGGUAAUACGGGGGAUCCGAGCGUUAUCCGGAUUUAUUGGGUUUAAAGGGAGAGUAGAUGGGUUGUUAAGUCAGUUGUGAAAGUUUGCGGCUCAACCGUAAAAUUGCAAUUGAUACUGGCAGUCGUGAGUGCAGGUGAGGUAGGCGGAAUUCGUGGUGUAGCGGUGAAAUGCUUAGAUAUCACGAAGAACCCCGGUUGCGAAGGCAGCUUACUAGACUGUGACUGACAUUGAGGCUCGAAAGUGUGGGGAGCAAACAGGAUUAGAUACCCUUGUAGUC
rnacentral:rRNA from 1 species